CUGUCAAUUUUGACUUAGUUUGUCGCUAUCUGAAUGAAAUUUUACUUUCAAACCCGGGGAAUCCUUGUUUGGAUAGUUUAUAAAAAUAUUAUGUUGCGUAAAUUGUGAAAUGGAAAGUAACAAAGAUGAAGCUACACAUUGUUUAGAUAUUGCAGAAAAAUGUAUUCAACAAAAAAAUUUCGGAAGAGGCAUAAAAUUCCUGAAUAAAUCGUUGACAUUGUAUCCUUCUGAAAAAGCUCAAAGUCUACUCAAUUCAAUACAAGAUUUGCCAUAUCAGAAAGAUUGUCGUCCAUCUUUGGAACUAAGAAAAAAAAUAUCACCAAAAUGUAGGACCCGUUCGCAUACACCUGAUGAAUUAGAUGAAAUAAUCAUUCAGAUUCUGAAUUCGCAUAAUUAUUAUGAUAUAUUGAAAUUAGAUAAGGACGCCACUGAUAAAGAAAUCAAAAAGUCUUACAAACAACUUGCGCUAAUACUCCAUCCUGAUAAAACGCAGCAACCAGGCGCAGCUGAAGCUUUCAAGUCAAUAAGAAAUGCUGCUUCAAUUCUUACCGAUGGAGCAAAAAGAAGGGUGUACGACAUUUACGGACCAGAAGAAGUCAACAACUCCUCGGCCAGUUAUAGUUUUCGAUCUACCUUUUCAAAACAUGACAGCGAAACUUCUGUGAACUGUUCUGAACAUAAUAUAUUCGAAGAGGAUAAUGGAGGAUUGUAUGAUAAACCCAAAAAACGUGAGAAAUUAUCCCUGAGGUUGAUAUGGCCAAUCAUUUUUGCAAUUACCCUUACAAUUGUUACCACGUUUUUCAUGCACGAUCCAUUAUACAGCUUCCAAAAAUCUCCGAAAUACCCAGUGCUGAGGUAUACACAUAACUUGAAAAUACCCUAUUUUGUGAAAGAAAACUUUCUCAUGGAAAAUUCUGGUAUGACCAUCUCCCUGUUGGACAACGAAGUUGAAAUUGAAACAAUCACAAAUCUACAGCAUGCCUGCUACAAUGAGAGAAGUUACCGUAAAUGUUUUUCAUUACUUUGGUAUAAUCUACUGAGGUUGUUUGACUGAUUUUUUAUGGUUAUUGACGGAGGUGUUUCAAAAUGACGAUUUAUCUACUUGAUUUUGAAUUUCGGUAAUUAUUUACUUCAGUUGGCUAGGAAGAGGCAAAAUUCUGAGGAUCUAUCAGGUCUGCUACAAAUGAGAUCACCCUCGUGUGAAAAUCUACGGGAAAUUCAAAGAGUUUUCUACUUACUUGAACUAGAAUAAAUUAU